AGCGAACGCUGGCGGCAGGCCUAACACAUGCAAGUCGAACGAACCUUUCGGGGUUAGUGGCGGACGGGUGAGUAACACGUGGGAACGUGCCCUUAGGUUCGGAAUAACUCACGGAAACGUGUGCUAAUACCGAAUGUGCCCUUCGGGGGAAAGAUUUAUCGCCUUUGGAGGGGCCCGCGUUGGAUUAGCUAGUUGGUUGGGUAAAGGCCCACCAAGGCGACGAUCCAUAGCUGGUCUGAGAGGAUGAUCAGCCACAUUGGGACUGAGACACGGCCCAGACUCCUACGGGAGGCAGCAGUGGGGAAUCUUGCGCAAUGGGCGAAAGCCUGACGCAGCCAUGCCGCGUGAAUGAUGAAGGUCUUAGGAUUGUAAAAUUCUUUCACCGGGGACGAUAAUGACGGUACCCGGAGAAGAAGCCCCGGCUAACUUCGUG
rnacentral:rRNA from 1 species